rnacentral:rRNA from 1 species
AGCCUGGGCGAUAAGCCUGGGAAACUGGGUCUAAUACCGAAUACACCCUGCUGGUUGCAUGACCUGGUGGGGGAAAGCUUUUGCGGUGUGGGAUGGGCCCGCGGCCUAUCAGCUUGUUGGUGAGGUUACGGCUCACCAAGGCGACGACGGGUAGCCGGCCUGAGAGGGUGACCGGCCACACUGGGACUGAGAUACGGCCCAGACUCCUACGGGAGGCAGCAGUGGGGAAUAUUGCACAAUGGGCGCAAGCCUGAUGCAGCGACGCCGCGUGGGGGAUGACGGCCUUCGGGUUGUAAACCUCUUUGCAGUAGGGACAAGCGCAAGUGACGGUACCUACAAAAAAAGGACCGGCCAACUACGUGCCAGCAGCCGCGGUAAUUC